GAAAGCACGCAGUUAGAAUACAUAAAGGCUAAAUCACUGGUAGAGGAAAGUCAGCUGGACUUGGAGGCCAAAACGGAUGCUCUCAACAUAAAUAAGCACUGCAAGGCACGUGAGGCAGUCAGGGUGCUGGCCGAAGCUAACCGAGUCCUGCACGAGAAUGG